AUGACAAUCCAUCGAUUUGUAGAGAUAUUUCAGUCUGGAUCAACGUGGGGGACUGAAAACAUAGAGCUAUGCCACAUGACAAUAACCAUUAUUAUUUACUACAAGUUGAAACUAAUUUUUUCUCCAGGCUAUGCAGAGUUGAUGUUAAGGGAGCUGACAGAGAGCCAAUCACUGGAGCUCUCCUGUUCCCCUCAUCAGGACCACGGCAGCCCGACGGGCCUCCACCUUUACCACCGCAGCGCCCAGAGCCAAACAACCCUUCUGUCGAUGGCUAAGGGCAGCGAGUUCAGGGUCAGUCCGGACCACAGGGGGCGUUUGCAGCUCCGUGGAGGACUGGACUCCCUGCGAGUCAAUGUGACAAUAUCCCAUUUACAGCCCAGUGACACAGGACUCUACAUUUGGGAGCUGAGCUACGGAGAGGAGAGAAGCUUAGACCAGAUCAAACUCAGCGAACAAAAGGUCUUCUUGUUGGUUCAAGGGACAGGGAGGUCAUGUCCGUGCAGUUACCCUCCUCUACUCUUGACCAUCUUUACAGCAGCAGGGCUUCUUCUACUCAUUCUCAGCUGGGUGGCCAUAGAGAAAUGUGUGAAGACAAGGAGUCAACACAGACCACAUCCUUCUGCACCUAUCUAUGAGGAAAUGACCAGGAAGCAGCAGAGCCCCGGCAUCCCCCAAAAUAACCACGAGGACCCCCCCGCACACCUGGAGGAAGUCAACUUCCCUGUGUAUGCUAACCCCAACAUCCGACAACCACAGGACAACUAUUACGCCUGUCCCAGACAGCUUGCUCUCAGAGCAUGA
ensembl:lncRNA